GGAAAUCAUUUGAUAGGGUCAACUAGCGAAGAGAAAAGGGUGGAAAUUAUUGAACAAAGGAUGGCUCAGUUGUUAGUCAUUUUUAGGGAAAGUGACCUCGGUGAGGAUCCUAUUAUAAAGGCAUUAUAGCAAGAUAGCAUUGCCAGUCUGGAGAAAAGGGUCGAGGUUAUGGAAAAGACUUUGGAAGAGUUUUUAAAGGCCAUUAAAGGGAAGGAUCCUACUGACAACCUAGUCAGCCCUUUGGUCACUCACACAAUCCCAAUCCACCCACCCUCAUCAAGCCAGGAGCCAUCGUCUGCACACCAAGUCAAUCCUCUUUGUUCUCAGCCUGCUAUGGAGCAAACAUGCCAGGUUCCCUCAGCCUCCUUUAUAUAGACUUUAGUGCUUAAAAGAAAGGAAUGCAAGAUAGCCCAUGGUAUAUUCCACUAGGGCAAAUAACACUCCCAAGGUUCAGAAGUCUUGUCGAGAGUUCACUCCAUUGCCCAUCUCCUUAACAAAGCUCUUCAAAAAUCGGCCGCCUAAGGAAAAAUGGUACCUAUCCUUGUUGAAGGUCUGGCUCCACAUAAAGAGGUCUCUGAAUGUCCGAAUUUGUCUUCUUUCCUAGGCGAUUUUCUCGUUAAAUAGCAAACUUUAGCAUAUGCCAAAUAGAAUCGAUUAAGUCAAAAUUGGAGCAUUUUCAGCCUAAUCAAGCAACAACAAUCGCAGUGAAAUUGAGAUCUUCCAAGAUCUUGGUGCAGGCGAGGUGGAGGAGGAACCCAUUGAGGUACAAAAUGCCUUUGGAUCUCAUGACCUCUUUCUUGAUCUUAAAGAUCUCAUCGUUCGUAAAGGACUUGUGGAGGGAGACGAGAUGGGACAUGAUCUUGGAAGUGUUGGAGGCGAUGCUUCCGAAGGUCGCCAGCUUGUCCAACUAGAAAAUGCCAUUAGGACAAGGUGAAUAAAGCAUAUUCAACAUGUGGUUUCAAAGCCUAAGUUUGUGCAUGCAAGCUGUUUGACAGAAUUCCUCAGUGAAGUAUGGAGGUGAAUAUAAAUAGUGGUAAGGAGAUCAUGGAAGGGCAAAGAUGUUAUACUUGACUUUAUUCGGAGAACAUGGGUGAUGAUGCCAAUCUCAAAGAUGUGUUAGAUAAGAAAUGGAAAAUGUAUUCAAACAUAUCCUUAUUUUUUUAAAAAAAUUUAUUAAAUUUAUAUAUUUUAAUGUACUUCUAAAAAAAUAAAAUAUUUCAUUCCAUUAUCA